GUGGCGGCAAUGUAAGCAAUAUUUGUGUUAUGCAACUAGCGUACUAAUUAAAAAAGGAGGCGGUGGCGGAGGAGCCGCUGCUGGCGGCGGGGCGGGAAAUAAAAACAAAGGCGGUGGCGGUGGUGACAAAGGUGGAGCCAAGAAAGGACCAGAGCCAAAGGCAGCCGCAGGCGGUGGCAAGAAAGGAGGCAAGAAAUAGCAACGGUGGCAAACAUCAAAGCGCAUUAAAAAUUACAAAUUUAGAAUUAAGCUGAAAUUAAACUUGGUAUCAGGGAAUAUGUAUCUAUAAUAUAUAUAUAUAUCUGUGA